rnacentral:lncRNA from 1 species
GUGCGCCCCCACGGAUCCGCCACCCUCCCCCACCAGGAGAUCGAACUCAUGAAGGUGGUCAAGAAGGCGUCCGACCUCAAGAGCGCCGGGGGGCUGGGCCUCCAGCUCCCCCUCAUCGUCCGCCUCCCCGACGUCCUCAAGAACCGCCUCGAGUCCCUCCAGAGCGCCUUCGACUUCGCCGUCGCCGCCAACGGCUACGCCUCCCACUACCAGGGGGUCUACCCUGUCAAGUGCAACCAGGACCGCUGCGUCGUCGAGGACGUCGUCCAGUUCGGCGCCCCCUUCCGCUUCGGCCUCGAGGCCGGCUCCAAGCCCGAGCUCCUCCUCGCCAUGAGCUGCCUCCUCCGCGGCAGCCCCGAGGCCUUACUCGUGUGCAACGGCUACAAGGACGAGGAGUACGUCUCCCUGGCGCUCAUGGCCCGGGC